rnacentral:rRNA from 1 species
CACAGAGUUAGCCGAUGCUUAUUCCUCAGAUACCGUCAUUGUUUCUUCUCCGAGAAAAGAAGUUGACGACCCGUAGGCCUUCCACCUCCACGCGGCAUUGCUCCGUCAGGCUUUCGCCCAUUGCGGAAAAUUCCUCACUGCUGCCUCCCGUAGGAGUCUGGUCCGUGUCUCAGUACCAGUGUGGGGGACCUUCCUCUCAGAACCCCUACGCAUCGUCGCCACGGUGGGCCGUUACCCCGCCGUCAAGCUAAUGCGCCGCAUGCCCAUCCUCUUCCGAUGAAUCUUUCCUCGAUCUCGGAUGCCCGAAACCGAUAUACGCGGGAUUAGCCUCCCUUUCGGAAGGUUGUCCCCCUGAAGAGGGCAGGUUGCAUACGUGUUACUCACCCGUGCGCCGGUCGCCGGCAAGGAAAGCAAGCUUCCUCCCGAUGCCCCUCGACUUGCAUGUGUUAAGCCUGCCGCUAGCGUUCAUCCUGAGCCAGGAUCAAAACUCUA